rnacentral:rRNA from 1 species
UACGAAGGGGGCUAGCGUUGCUCGGAAUCACUGGGCGUAAAGGGUGCGUAGGCGGGUCCUUUAGUUAGUGGUGAAAUCCUGGAGCUCAACUCCAGAACUGCCUUUGAUACUGAGAGUCUUGAGUUCGGGAGAGGUGAGUGGAACUGCGAGUGUAGAGGUGAAAUUCGUAGAUAUUCGCAAGAACACCAGUGGCGAAGGCGGCUCACUGGCCCGAUACUGACGCUGAAGCACGAAAGCGUGGGGAGCAAACAGG